AGGAGUUUAGGUUAAACUAGACCAAGGGCCUUCAAAGCCCUAAGUAAAUAACUUUAUUUAACUCCUG
rnacentral:tRNA from 1 species